AUGCUCGCUUUGGCAGCAUACAUACUAAAAAUUGGAGCAACACAGAGAAGAUCAGCAUGGCCCCUGUACAAGGAUAAUGGCUCAAGUUUGUGAAGCAUGCGGCUGCCUU
ensembl:snRNA U6 U6 spliceosomal RNA